AUCCAGCUAACGAGUCCCAACUGGGACGAAACGCGCGUCGUGGAU
rnacentral:hammerhead_ribozyme from 1 species